GGAACGCCCUCACCCCCAUAUUCUGAUUCAGCUGAGAGUGAAGGACAAGCAAAAUACCAUCUUUGGGCAAGAUUGGAAGAACGGAUUUUCAGUUUGCAAAUUCUGGUCUGGUGACUAGCGCUGAAGAUCACUGAGAACAGUGACGAGGGGAAAAACCACUGAGAAAAUUAUAAUAUAGACAGCAUCAGGAGAGGAAAGAGAGUGAAUUGACAGCAACAGUGGGAAAAGAGGCCUGCCACUCAUGGACAAACAUGUAUAAAGAACUUAAUUGAGAUGAGUAGGAGCUCCUGGCUAAGGUCGAGACGUGUACGUGGGCUCCGUCUCUGUCAUCAGUCAUGAAGCCAAAUUAAACUGAAGCAUAAGCAUUGCCCUCCAUCAUGUUUAUCUGCAAGAUAUUAAUAAAAACACGGUGGCUGUUCAUUCCAUUUUUCACUUUUACUUGUCAUUACCUUGUUGCACCAAUCAAGCAAACAGAUGGUGAUCACUUAAUUGAAGUACAGAGGCUGAGCUUUACACCUAUAUUUCAUAACUGUCUGGACGAUGGAACCAUGUGCACGUUUUACCAACAGCCCUUGAGAGAGGUUAUCUUGCAUGGCUUAAGAGAUGUGCUCUCCCUGUCACCUCUUCCUGCAGCUCUUUAUCCUGCAGUACUGCAUCUCCCCUCCCUGGCUCCCUGUCUAGAGACAGACAGCAAAAUCUUUACUGCAGGCAUUUGA
rnacentral:lncRNA from 1 species